CAGUUAUUAAGUGGCAAAGACCGGAUUUGAAUCAAGAUAUCUGAUUUUUAAAAUUCACCUUGUUUCAAAGCAUUUUACUUCACCUAAGAAGUUAAUACACCUCACAACCAGAUAACUCCUUCUUUUCAAUUAGACUGUGUCUGUAUCUGGGAUCAGUUGCGAAGCAGAAGUAUGACGUGACUAAGGCCACCGCUGGGUUAGGAUACCCCCAUCCAAGAUUGAGAGCUGUACUAGCCUGGCAUGCAGACAGCAGCUUUAGAAUCAGAUCUGCCUUCUGGCGGCUUCCCACCUAGGAGCCAUGGGACCUUUGUGAAGUCACCAAUUGUGCUGUGGAUGCUUCAUUUGUGAAGGAGAACAGGACUGCCUUGUGAAAUUACGGAUGGUGCUACUAAAACAUAUCAAUAAUUUGAA
rnacentral:lncRNA from 10 species